AUUCAAAGAGAAGACGACUGCAUGUUUUCAAUCGACAAUAACUAAAGUCACAUGAGUGGACGCAGCCUGCGUUAGUUCUACUUAUUCCUCUCCAGCGAGAACAGUGACAGUGAUGCUCUGUGACUGUCAAGCGCUGCUCGCUUCCACAACGCACCAGUCAGUGCUUUCCGCUGGAUGAAUUAUGGAUGUGGCGGGGCCUGGCCUCCCUCCACAUCCCUGAAUAAGUCAAAUCUACGUGGAAGUACGACGUGUGUACGUACGUAUGACGUCGUUGCUCUAUUCGUGCGUGUGCUCCGAUGAGAGGCAGCGAGCCAGAAAAAAAAGGAUGAAAUAAUGAUGAAGACUGCCUCACUGCGACAUGAUCAUAAAGUGGACAGGGCCUGUUCAAUUUGUAUUCCCACGGGCCACGAUAUUAGGUCCAGCUGCACAAUUUUAUGAUUGAACCCUCUGUUAGGUUUAAUGUGGUGCAGUUUGCAGAAUCUUUGGGUAAAGAUAAACCAAUUGUUUAUUCUACUGGCGAUAUAUUUUGAGAAACACUAAAAGCAACGUGCCACUCACCAGAUCCACCACAGGUGACUUUUUCCGGUUCUGUUUCUCCACCUCCACCUGCAUCUUGGCCAUGGGCUUGGCCAUGGCCAACGCAAGCUUGGCCUCCGCCUGGAGCUUCUUCUGCCGACUCAGGAAGUCCAUGUCCUCCAGGGACUCGGAGUCCUCCUCAGUGGUGUCCCGGUCCGAGUAGGAUGAACUCUGCUUGGACUGCGUUGAGGCUGACGAGAGGUUAAUGCGUCCAACCAUCCGUGGCCUGGCUGAGCGUAUUCCAAUUCAUUCCUCAUUUGCAGCCCAGGAAUUGGUUAACGGGCCAGAAAAGGUGGACCAAAGCCAAGAGACCUGCUCGUCCUCGUCGCGUCUGGUGUCAGAUCAAUGCGGGAAGCAGCAGGCGGUUCUGGUCCAAUACAGAUGACACCGACUGGGUUGUUAAAAUUCAUUUUUGUUUAGACGAAGUGUGGAUGAGGCUCCGAACGCAGAUCAAUAAUCUGCUUAUUCCAUGCAGUAAUUACAAGCACGGCUGAUUGAUCACGCGGCAGGGCAUCCAAAGAGCACUGAUUAAAAUAGAACUUUAAAGGGCGAUGACUCAGAUUGUACAAACUCUCUUGCCAGUUAAAAUACAGAUUGAGGCUUCACGAGUUCAAAAAGUGUAAUGUCUUUAUCUGAAUGACAAUAAUAAGAGAGUGACAUCACGUUACCGUGACGACAGGCUCGGUUUGCCGCUCUUGCUGCAGCUGGUGUAGAUGCCCGGUCCAUCGUCGAAGAAACUGCCCAGGGCCAACUUCUGCCUAAUAGACUCCCUCUCAUUCUUUUGGGCCUGAAACACAAGUGAAAACAUUUUUUUUUAUUAAAGACUUUCGCGUUGUCAUGGCAGCUAUGAUUUUAUUUUUAGGCCGUGGCACCAUUUUCCCAAUCUUUUACACGGCCGGUGUAUUUAUAGCAGCAGCCUCCUAAUUUGGCUGGGUGUCAUCUUAACAAGAUGUGAUACAAAGUGUGGACUCAGCUGAACCAGCAAAACGUGUGAAUUAGAUUCACUGGGAGCCUUUUUAAUAAAAGACAAGACAUAUUUUCACCAGUAGGUGGUGCUGUUGCAUCAAAGAACAAACAGCUCUACAGUGCUGUGCUACGUUUACAGGCGGUAAUGUUAAGUACUAGUUUGAGUCACGUGGUAAACAUACGACAUAUAACACUGAUGCUCCAACAUGACCUCAACAAAACGCAAAAUAAUUUGACACAAUAAGGUGAUGAACAAUGAUAAA